rnacentral:rRNA from 1 species
GAUGAACGCUGGCGGCGUGCCUAAUACAUGCAAGUCGAGCGAAUGGAUUAAGAGCUUGCUCUUAUGAAGUUAGCGGCGGACGGGUGAGUAACACGUGGGUAACCUGCCCAUAAGACUGGGAUAACUCCGGGAAACCGGGGCUAAUACCGGAUAACAUUUUGAACCGCAUGGUUCGAAAUUGAAAGGCGGCUUCGGCUGUCACUUAUGGCUGGACCCGCGUCGCAUUAGCUAGGUGGGGAGGUAACGGCUCACCAAGGCAACGAUGCGUAGCCGACCUGAGAGGGUGAUCGGCCACACUGGGACUGAGACACGGCCCAGACUCCUACGGGAGGCAGCAGUAGGGAAUCUUCCGCAAUGGACGAAAGUCUGACGGAGCAACGCCGCGUGAGUGAUGAAGGCUUUCGGGUCGUAAAACUCUGUUGUUAGGGAAGAACAAGUGCUAGUUGAAUAAGCUGGCACCUUGACGGUACCUAACCAGAAAGCCACGGCUAACUACGUGCCAGCAGCCGCCGCCG